GGCGGGCUUCGCCGUGCUGGUGCAGGCCCCGGUCUUCAAAACCGGUCGGGACGCGUCGAGAGGCUUCGUUCGGUGGGUUCGAUUCCCAUAGUCCGCCGCCA
rnacentral:tRNA from 1 species